AAUAUUAUAAAUACUUUCAUGAAUAAUAAGUUAGUUAAAUAUAUACAGAAUACUUCAUUGUUCAUUGUCAUUCUACACUUAUACAUACGAAAAAAAAUCAAAAAUAGAAGAAUAAAUGUCUUCAAACUCCUCCUUGGUCAACGCCUCUUGUGGUUGUUUAAGAACCUUAUCCCUGUUAAUAAGGAAAAAUAACACAUUAUCACUUUGAAAUAAAAAAUACAAGCUAACAAUGAUUAACAAUUCAACAAAUUAAACUAAUGAAAGGACGAAUUCCGCAGAGGCAAAACAUUUACCUUAAGAAAGCCCUCAGUUUUCCACAACCAAACUCUAGUCUGAAAGAAGAAAUUGUAAGGACAAGCUUAUGGACUAAAUCAUAUGAUUAGUAGUAACCAUAAAACAUCAAGAACCAAGCCAAAGAAAGGGCUACACUCUACUCAUCCUUCAGCCAACUCCAAAACCAUCAACUUACAUAGAGAAAUUUUCAAUUCUUUAAAACAUCAUCUCAAUCCGUACAAAUACUGCACCAAGACAAACCAGCAGAAGGAAAUCUGCUUUAAAACUUC
rnacentral:lncRNA from 1 species